rnacentral:rRNA from 1 species
UGAGUACAAGAUGCUACGGCAUUGAAGCAGUCUAUGUCAUACUUCCAAGAAAAGCUUGCAAUGUCAUAAACAAAUAAUGCCUGUACCAUAACCGACACAGGUGGGUAGGUAGAGUAUACUAAGGGGCGCGAGAUAACUCUCUCUAAGGAACUCGGCAAAAUGACUCCGUAACUUCGGGAGAAGGAGUACCUUAUUUUAUAAGGUUGCAAUAACAAGGUCCAAGCAACUGUUUACCAAAAACACAGGUCUCCGCUAAGUCGUAAGACGAUGUAUGGGGGCUGACGCCUGCCCAGUGCCAGAAGGUUAAAGAAGUUGGUUAGCAUUAGCGAAGCUGAUAACUGAAGCCCUGGUGAACGGCGGCCGUAACAAUAACGGUCCUAAGGUGGCGAAAUUCCUUGUCGGGUAAGUUCCGACCCGCACGAAAGGCGUAAUGAUUUGGAUACUGUCUCGGAGAGGGGCUCGGUGAAAUAGACUUGUCUGUGAAGAUGCGGACUACCUGCACCUGGACAGAAAGACCCUAUGAAGCUUUACUGUAACUUGAGAUUGAAAUUGGACUUUAUUUGCGCAGUAUAGGUGGGAGACCUCGAAAGUAUUCUUGCGGGAAUAUUGGAGUCAUCAGUGAGAUACCACUCUUAUAAUGUUAGAUUUCUAACUUUGUAUCAUUAUCUGGUCAAAGAACAGUUUCAGGCGGGCAGUUUGACUGGGGCGGUCGCCUCCCAAAUGGUAACGGAGGCGCACAAAGGUUUCCUCUGAACGUGUAGAAAUCGUAUCUAGAGUGUAAAGGCAUAAGGAAGCUUGACUGUGAGACCUACAAGUCGAGCAGGGACGAAAGUCGGUCUUAGUGAUCUGACGGUGCUGAGUGGAAAGGCCGUCACUCAACGGAUAAAAGUUACUCUAAGGAUAACAGGCUGAUCUCCCCCAAGAGUUCACAUCGACGGGGAGGUUUGGCACCUCGAUGUCGGCUCAUCGCAUCCUGGGGCGGUAGUACGUCCCAAGGGUUGGGCUGUUCGCCCAUGAAAGCGGUACGCGAGCUGGGUUCAGAACGUCGUGAGACAGUUCGGUCCAUAUCCGGUGUAGGCGUUAGAAUAUUGAGAGGAGCCUUCUUUAGUACGAGAGGACCGAGAAGGACAUACCUCUGGUGUACCAGUUAUCGUGCCAACGGUAAACGCUGGGUAGCUAUGUAUGGAGAGGAUAACCGCUGAAAGCAUCUAAGUGGGAAGCCCACCUCAAGAUAAG